rfam:Oryza sativa Japonica Group DNA, chromosome 5, cultivar: Nipponbare, complete sequence.
AAAAAGUCAAAUCAUGGAUUUCCGUGUCCAACUUUAACUGUCCGUCUUAUAUGAAAUUUUUUUUAUAAUUCGUAUUUUCAUUAUUGUUAGAUGAUAAAACAUGAUUAAUAUUUUAUGCGUGACUUGUCUUUUUAAAUUUUUUCAUAAUUUUUUCAAAUAAGACGGACGGUCAAACGUUGGGCAUGAAAAUCAGGGUUUGUCUUUUU